UACGGAGGGUGCAAGCGUUAUCCGGAUUCACUGGGUUUAAAGGGUGCGUAGGCGGGUCAGUAAGUCCGUGGUGAAAUCUCCAAGCUUAACUUGGAAACUGCCGUGGAUACUAUUGGUCUUGAAUGUUGUGGAGGUUAGCGGAAUAUGUCAUGUAGCGGUGAAAUGCUUAGAUAUGGCAUAGAACACCAAUUGCGAAGGCAGCUGGCUACACAAAUAUUGACGCUGAGGCACGAAAGCGUGGGGAUCAAACAGG
rnacentral:rRNA from 1 species